rnacentral:rRNA from 1 species
CGCAUCUGUGCAUGCCGCAUAUCAAUAAGCGGAGGAAAAGAAACUAACAAGGAUUCCCUAGUAACGGCGAGUGAAGCGGGAAGAGCUCAAAUUUGAAAUCUUCAAGGUUUUACCUUGACGAAUUGUAGUUUAAUGAAGUGUUUUCUGUUGAAGUUUUGGUAAAAGUUCUUUGGAAUAGGACAUCAUAGAGGGUGAGAAUCCCGUAUUUGACCAUUAUUUUCAGCUGUGUGAUACACUUUCAAAGAGUCGGAUUGUUUGGGAAUGCAGAUCCAAAAUGGGUGGUAAAUUUCAUCUAAAGCUAAAUAUUGGCGAGAGACCGAUAGCGAACAAGUACCGUGAGGGAAAGAUGAAAAGAACUUUGAAAAGAGAGUUAAACAGUACGUGAAAUUGUCAAAAGGGAAGCGUUUGACACCAGUGUUGUUUUCUCGAAAAUCAAUUAAAAAGAGUUUAGAUUUUGUUGUGUACUUGACCUUAACAGCUUGCAUUUCAAUUUUCUUGCUUUUUUUAAUGCACUUUUCGUUUAACAAGUCAACAUCAGUUUCUUUUGUUGUAAAAAGGUCAUUGGAAGGUGGCUUUCCUUUCGGAGAAAGUGUUUAUAGCCUUUGACUCCUGCAAUCGGAGAGACUGAGGUCUGCAGCGUAGAUCCUUCGGGGUUAGAUACAUUUGUGCUAAGUUAUAGCUUUUUAUAGACAACUUGUUGACUAUGAUUAGUCUUGUAGGCUUACUCGCUUAUGCUAUUUUACCUACGCUUAGGAUGUUGAUGUGAUACUGCGAGCA